CUCUAGCCCUGAUGGAAGCGGCAUCCUUUUAUGGCCUCGUUAAAAGACGAGGUGAUAAAAGAUAUAGCGGACAGCAGGAAACAGC
rnacentral:sRNA from 1 species